rnacentral:rRNA from 1 species
AAUAAACGUUGGCGGCGUGCUUAACACAUGCAAGUCGAGCGAGAAAGGUCUUCGGACUGAGUACAGCGGCAAACGGGUGAGUAACACGUGGGAAUCUACCUUUUAGUGAAGAACACCCUCGAGAAAUCGAGGUUAAUACUGCAUACGUCUCGAAAGAGAGAAAGAUGGCCUCUUUGCUGUCGCUGAAAGAUGAGCCUGCGUACUAUUAGCUAGUUGGUAGGGUAAAGGCCUACCAAGGCGAUGAUGGUUAGCCGGCCUGAGAGGGUGUACGGCCACACUGGAACUUAGACACGGUCCAGACUCCUACGGGAGGCAGCAGUGAGGAAUAUUGCGCAAUGGGCGAAAGCCUGACGCAGCGACGCCGCGUGGAGGAUGAAGGUCUUAGGAUUGUAAACUUCUGUUAAGCGGGAAGAAAGACGAAGUGUUAAUACCACUUUAUGAUGACGGUACCGCUAAAGAAAGCACCGGCUAACUUCGUGC